AAGAGCAAGAUGGAGAAGCAGGGCACGUGCUUUACUAACUCAUUUCCAAUUCAAAAAUCCCAUCUUCUUUUUUUUCUUUUCUUUUUUUCCUAAUGUUUGUUAAGAAGUGAUUUUGAAAUUUGGAAGAAAAAAGGGUUUUUUUCUUUUUCAAUGUAUUUUUGAGUUAGUUCUUCAUGUGCCCCUCUUCACCAUCCAGACCAC
rnacentral:pre_miRNA from 1 species